rnacentral:rRNA from 1 species
UACGGGUAGGGGCAGCGUUGUCCGGAAUUACUGGGCGUAAAGGGCGCGUAGGCGGUUUGCUAAGUUGGAUGUGAAAACUCUGGGCUUAACCCAGAGCCUGCAUCCAAAACUAGCAGGCUAGAGUUCUGGAGGGGAUAGCGGAAUUCCUGGUGUAGCGGUGAAAUGCGUAGAUAUCAGGAGGAACACCGGUGGCGAAGGCGGCUAUCUGGACAGAAACUGACGCUGAGGCGCGAAAGCUAGGGGAGCAAACAGG